rnacentral:lncRNA from 1 species
GGGUUUUUAGGUUCUUGGAUUUCUUCUAAAAUAAGAUUAAAAAAUUAACGAUUAGAAUUUAUAUAAAAACUAAUAUAUAUCAUGAAAACUGUAACACAAACCUCAUAGAUUUGUUACGUAUUAAUUCACUGGAUUUUGAUCUAACUGCCAUUAUAUUUCUUGUAAAGUUUCUUCUUAAUUUCUCUUUUUAACUUCUUUUUU